AAGUGUAUUAGAGAUCUGAAAUUCUACCUCUGCAUUGUGCCUUGCCCUGACACUGUCAGCACUGGCAUCUCGCAAGCUCAUUGCAAACUGUAAGUUUCUGUGCAGUUUUUGCAUAUCACAACAAGCCUGCAAAUAUAAUUUCCUCCAUUACUUUGUUGGACAGUAUUAAAAGAAACAGAAGGUGUACAGAUAUCUAUUUCUUUUUCUUGUGCUGAAAUAAACAGUAUAGUUAGGGAUUACCCUCAUGUGAAAUAAACUCUGUGAUCCAUUGUACUGUGGCCGAAAAGCUAAAGUAGUGGAAUUGGGGACCUUGUAUUCACCUGAAGACUCUUUCACUACAAUACAUAGGGCAGCUACUGGUUAGAGAGAGUGUGCAAUGUAACACACUGGUGUUACACUUCACACCCCCUUACAGUGUAACUGUAAUGUUAAUAACAAGAUUUAGGGAAGUUACUGUUGUCAUGCAGCAAGCCUGUAGUAUUAGUUCUAGCUAGAAUAGGUAUUGGGAGGGUCUCUGGAAAAAGACACUGAAAGGGACAUAUUCUGCAGGAAAAUCAUUGUCCCAGAUUUGGGAAGAAAGCUCAGCUGGAAAUCUACAUUGUAUUAGUGGUGAUUAACUUGUGAAUUUAGUCAGACUCUGGAAACAAGAAAAAUUCAGUUUGAAUUGAAAAGGCAGAUAGUCUCUUUGGUUGUAGUAAGAGCUGCACUGUAAAUCUAGGGAGCUGCUUCCAACCACAAUCUUUAUGAUUAUUCAGAACUGAAGAGUAUUCUUUCCUAUGUUUGGCCCAACUGUUUUGUCACAGAAAUAUUCCAAUAUACAUUGAGAACCAGCUUGCUUUUCUUAUAUCUUCUUUAGAACUUCUGCUGUACCUGCCAGAAAUCAGAACUGAGGAGAGUAAAGGGUACAUGGACUUGCAGACUUUCUGCUCAUCCAAAGCAGGAGUAUAAUCCAAAGUUGUUAGAAGAAGAAGAGUUUCAAGAGGAUAAAUAUGAACAGUUUAGUGCCAAGAACACUGAAAUGGGCAUUUCAGCUCUGCUGGGAUCUUCUUUCCAUUGUCUCCACUGUUCCUCUUUUACCAGAAUGCCUCUCAGAUAUUUGAACAGAUAACCACAGCUAGUGGGCACAUAGCCACAGUUUUCUCCAUAAUGAGUCUCCAAAUGUUAUCUGAUCAGGCAAGACACAGCCACAGGGAGAACAGCAUCAAAGCUCUGAACGUGCUGGUGUCCAAGAACAUGGAUCCACGGAAAACAGGCGCACACGAUCUCCUCAUGCAAGAAGGCUGGUGCAGGCACUUGUGUACGUACACAGAGCUGAGUGUACUCAAAUAUAAACUUCACUUUAAAAGCAUGUUUAUAAAGGGUGUUUUGGUAAAAACUAAAUUCAUCUGCUUCAUGAGAGAGCAGAACUGAAACUGUGGCUUCAGGACUUGAGUGCAAACCGUUGCCAAUCUCAAACUGUGUUCAUGACAGCAGCUUUGCUGGUUUGGAUGGUAAGUCAUGCUAAAUUGAGAAAUUUGUAUUUUGGAGCUGAAGAGCAAAAUAAUUUUAUUGUGUUGAUGUAGGUGAAAAGAUUAAUUCUAUUUAGUGGACCAAAUCCUGCUAGUUUUACUUGUGAGAGCAUUUUAAGUGGAAUUGUUCAUUUCUACUUGUCUUCAUGCUGACAUCAAAGAAAUGUUGGCACGAAAUGGAUAUAACGGUUUGGUGCAAGGCUGAAGCAUUGGGAAGUAUGUUAAAAAUCAGGUUAUUUCCAUGAUUGCUCAUAUUCCUUUUUAUCCCCAUCAUACCUGGUUA